rnacentral:rRNA from 1 species
GCAUAUCAAUAAGCGGAGGAAAAGAAACCAACAGGGAUUGCCUCAGUAACGGCGAGUGAAGCGGCAACAGCUCAAAUUUGAAAUCUGGCCCCAGGCCCGAGUUGUAAUUUGCAGAGGAUGCUUUUGGUGAGGUGCCUUCCAAGUUCCCUAGAACGGGACGCCAGAGAGGGUGAGAGCCCCGUACAGUUGGACACCGAGCCUUUGUAAAGCUCCUUCGACGAGUCGAGUAGUUUGGGAAUGCUGCUCAAAAUGGGAGGUAUAUUUCUUCUAAAGCUAAAUACCGGCCAGAGACCGAUAGCGCACAAGUAGAGUGAUCGAAAGAUGAAAAGCACUUUGAAAAGAGGGUUAAACAGCACGUGAAAUUGUUAAAAGGGAAGCGCUUGUGACCAGACUUGCGUCCGGUGAAUCACCCAGCUCUCGCGGCUGGGGCACUUCGCCGGCUCAGGCCAGCAUCAGCUCGCUGUCGGGGACAAAAGCUUCAGGAACGUAGCUCUCUUCGGGGAGUGUUAUAGCCUGUUGCAUAAUACCCUUCGGCGGGCUGAGGUACGCGCUCCGCAAGGAUGCUGGCAUAAUGGUCAUCAGCGACCCGUCUUGAAACACGGACCAAGGAGUCAACCUUAUGUGCGAGUGUUCGGGUGUCAAACCCCUACGCGUAAUGAAAGUGAACGCAGGUGAGAGCUUCGGCGCAUCAUCGACCGAUCCUGAUGUUCUCGGAUGGAUUUGAGUAAGAGCAUAUAGGGUUGGACCCGAAAGAAGGUGAACUAUGCGUGUGUAGGGUGAAGCCAGAGGAAACUCUGGUGGAGGCUCGCAGCGGUUCUGACGUGCAAAUCGAUCGUCAAACAUGCGCAUGGGGGCGAAAGACUAAUCGAACCUUCUAGUAGCUGGUUUCCGCCGA